UAUUGGUUAUUAUUAUUUGAUGCGUUUUAUCUUAUCUUAACUAUACUCGAAUCUCAAGAUUAAAUAUGCCAGUCGUAGUUAGAACGCAGUGAUCUAUACUUCAAACACCGCAGGACCGCAAGCACUGAGCCGUUAUCACAUCUCAUAUACCUAGCUACGUCGACAAUAAUAAUAAUGGAUUCAUCAUCGAUUAUACACACACAUUCUGAGGUAUAUGCAUAUAAUAUAUGUAUAUCGACGGCGGUCCGUACCAAUCGCAAGCACAAAGCACGGGCAUUGCAGUGGACGACUGCGGUCGCCCUUUCUCGUCAACCGCCGCUUUGGGACACAAACAGCGCGUAACUCGCGUUCGCUACUUCCACCCCAUCCAUUUACGAGAGAAGUGGGAUGAGGGACCGAGCCGGCUAUUAUAGGGCAAACGACCGAGAAAAGGCCACGACUAACCAGGUUCGUGAUGACGACCACCACCACCGGCGACCAUUACGAGUGACGCAGUGAAUGUGAAAACAUUAAAAUAAACGUGAAAAAACAUGCCAACAACUCUCUAGAGAAUUUUAUGAUGACUGCGGGUUCACGAAUUCACAAUAACCAAUACCGAAAACACGAAACAACAAAGAAUUAACUAACUGAAAAAAAAAAAAACAAUUAGUAUUCGUAAAACAGCACUGUCUAUAUUAUUAUAUUAUACGUGAAUUUCAAUAUGUCUACAUAUAUCGUAUAAUCUGUACAAGAAUCAUUAGGAAUGAUAAAACGAAGACAUAGAUAUGCAUAUAAAGCAACUUGUGUAAUGAUGAAAUACAAAUCAUGUCUUACAUUACAAUGAAGAACUUGUACAUACCGAGUAAGUUGACGUCGACUCUAUCACGAACUUUUCUCUUUAUCGCGCACCGACGACACUGAAUAAUAUUCUCCACCUCUUUAAUCUUUACGAUCACUACGACCACAUAGAUCGGACGUGGCACGGGAAAACGUUGUAUGAGUUUGGCACUGACUAGCACUGAAG